rnacentral:sRNA from 1 species
AUCCGGACCGUUGCCGAUCAGCAUCGCGCCCUUGACGGGCGC